rnacentral:rRNA from 1 species
UGGGGAAUCUUCCGCAAUGGACGAAAGUCUGACGGAGCAACGCCGCGUGAGUGACGAAGGUCUUCGGAUUGUAAAACUCUGUUUUUUGGGACGAACGGCUCAUAUGUGAAUAAUGUAUGGGAUUGACGGUACCAAAGGAGGAAGCCCCGGCUAACUACGUGCCAGCAGCCGCGGUAAUACGUAGGGGGCGAGCGUUGUCCGGAAUUAUUGGGCGUAAAGAGCGCGCAGGCGGCUAUUUAAGUCUACCGUGAAAGCUUACGGCUCAACCGUAACGGGUCGGUGGAUACUGGAUGGCUUGAGGGCAGGAGAGGAAAGUGGAAUUCCCAGUGUAGCGGUGAGAUGCGUAGAGAUUGGGAGGAACACCAGUGGCGAAGGCGACUUUCUGGACUGCACUGACGCUGAGGCGCGAAAGCGUGGGGGAGUGGAACGGGAUUAGACGUACCCCGGUAAUCCCGAGCCGUAAACGAGUGGGUACUAGGUGUAGGAGGUA